UUCCCACAUAAGAUGCCCCAUCUUUCAAAUCAUCUGGAAGAGACGACAUUUUAGCCGGCACAAGAGAGGCUACGCUGCAGGAACAAACAUCCCCCAACUGUCCAUGACAAUGUUCUAUGGGCCAGGGAUCCUCCAGGCAGCUGCACCUCCAGAGCACCUGCAGAGUCCACAGCUGCUGAAGCUGGCGGGGGAGAGCUGGGGACCCAGUAUGGGCCACCCCUGCCCACAGUCUGCCGGCCAAAGCCAUUCCAACAUCCAAGCACCUGCUCCUUCAAGGGGACAAGGAGGCACAGCACCCUCAAGGCUUGAGGAGGAGAGCCUGAAAGCAUGGUCAGAGGUACCCACGUGGCCAGGAUGGACGGCCAGGGGCCAGGCACACCGAGGACCGGCCGCAGCCGCCCCAGCCCCACACAGGCCCAGCACUGCAUUUGGACAUGCUUUCUGGCUUCUUUCUCUCCUGGGGGACGGCCGCCUCCUCCCAGCCACUGUGCCACCCCCAGCCCCCACCCAGCCUGCUGGCAGAGGCCUCAGCUCCCAGCCAGGACCUCUCAGUGCUGAGCAACAGAGGCCUCCGGCUGUGCCUUCAGCCCAGUGUGGUGGGUGGACCCUCAGGUCUGCAGAGGACUUCUCAGGCACAGCAGACUGGUAAUGACCUGGCUGCUCAGCCGGGCCCUCACUGAAGGGCAGCAUUUGGAAGCCACCAGGCCAGCAGGGGUCCCAGCGUGCCCUGGCCUUGGCUUUUCGGGGCCCUGGGGCAUCUCACAGGGACCAAGCCCUCAGGAGACACACACGUGGGAAUCAUCGCUCAGGUCCUCGCUCCCCUGCAGGGAGGAAGAAUGACCUCCCAUUGGGUAGGGUGGUGGGGAGGGGGCCCACCUCGGAGGCACCGCCCUUUCAUAGCCUCUGAGCCUUUUCAGGAGAUGGAAGCAGCAGGAAGCCAGGCUUGGUCCUCCUGUGCCACCCCCACCAUCUGCUCACAGCCAGCCAAGGCGGGGCUGCCGUCCCCAGCACAGGGUCAAGCGCCCCAACAAGGACUGGACCUGCUGCGUCCUGGACUCCACAGCCCUCCCACCCAUCCCUGCCUGAGAAUUAUCAGUGGAGGCUCAUCCCCAAGGCCCACGUCACCCCAGCGGGGCCACAGGGCUCCUGCAUCUGCCCUGGAGGAGCUGCCAGCUGGAGCAUGGCGGUCAAACCUGAGGUGUGGCUGGAGCUAUCACAGCGAAGUACAGGUCUCUCCUGAGGAGGCCCAAGGCCCUGAUUCCAUCCCUUCUGGAAACUUCCAGGUGCAGCAAGAUGAGUGUGAGGCCGGGCUGGGCCCAGGAGAGAAAAGCAGGAGGGGGUGGGGGUGCCCACAUCCUGGGGCAGCCACCAGGACAGGGCAGAGACAUCCUGAAAGCAUGGACGCCCCCCAUGCCCAGCCAGAGAAAGGUGCCAGGGAUGCUGAUGGCUCAUUGGUGGUGCCUCUCACAUCCCUCAGCACCCGGCAUUGGGCAGCAGCCAAGAGGGCAGCCAUGGGGGGCCUCGUGAUCACGGAUCAGUAACCUUUGUUCUGAACGGGGUGGUUUGUUUUCAUGGAGGAGCCGAGUUUGUAAGGCCCAAGUUAUUGAGCAGCAGCUUCCUAAGUCACGAGACCCUGAGGCCUCCCACCUCCCCAAGGCCUGGAGCUAAAUCCGCAGGGUCAGCUCCACCUCCGACAUUCCUCCUGGUCACCUUCACCCCUGCCCUUGUCUCUACCUUUGCUUUCCAGGGAAGGGGAAGCAGAGUGUCCACCCACCAGGGCAGGAGGCCGGGGGGCAGGGGAGACAGACAGCAAGACACAGAGGCAGAGAGACAGGGAGACAGACAGAGAGGCAGAGAGAAACAGAGACAGAGAGACAGGGACACAGAGAGGCAGAGAGAAACAGAGACAGAGAGGCAGAGAGAGAUAGAGACAGAGUCCUGCACGGAAGCCCUGGUCCCAUCCAUGGAACCCUUCUGCUCUAUGGUGCACAGCUGGGAAAAGUGAAGGGACACCCCUAGUUAUUGUAGUUAUUGUCAGAGAAAUAACCAUAGUGUAAAUGUGUGUUUUUGUAACUUUUGUGAUUAUAAAAUACAGUUUUGUAACAUAUUUGGAAAAUGCAGAAC
rnacentral:lncRNA from 1 species